GCCACUCUCACAAACAAAUGGGGGACUAGGAACAUGGAGCUGAGAUCAGUCUUGCGCUGCAAUUAGGAGAGACUGAGGGAAAAGCACAGACAAGCUGUACCCCCAGGGCAGGAGCUGUGGGCUCACAUUCCCUGCCCUUGGCAUUUGUUGGGCUGGAAGGAGCUGUGCUGGAUGGAGCCGUAUUGAACAUCCAUGUUGUCCUUGAAGGAAGUGAGUUGAAAAGAAAGAAAUGCUCCGAUGGCCUCAAGGAUCAUACAGGAUAGCAGAUGAACUGUCUCCAGCCAUUCUGUGUCUUUCUCAAAUUGGACCCCAGAACUGGAACCCAGUACUCCAGAUGUGAUCUCACUUAGCAGAUCACAAAACACAGACCUACAUGAUAUAUCUCCUUGAAGAGCCAAAUAGCAAGAGAAUGAGUGAAAGCUGCACAUAACAGGUGGAGAAACAGGAGAAUGGAAAGAUGAAGGGAAUCAAGUACAAGGUCUCAUGAUUACUUAAUUGCUAUGCCCACACCUUGUUCCAUAAUGCAUACAAGAUUUCAGCCACCCAAUCUACUGAAAUCUCUCUCAGGACAUGUCAGACUUUAACUAAGCAUCCUCCUCUCAUCCUGCUGGGUUAUCCAUUCCCCUUGGCUUUUUGCCAUCUUCUGUUAUGCAUUAUCCCAUCAGUUUUGGUCCUCACAUUACAUAUGAGACUUAACAUACUACUUACUGCUGCUUAUGUCAGUUACUUAACACAAGGAGAUUCCCAAGCUUCCCAGCUGUUCUCAUCCCCCAUCUUAACUGCUACCUAUCGUAUUUGGCAAUGUUCUGUCAGCCAACCCUCUUGGCCAUUCAACUCUGCUAACUCAAUGUAGCGUGCGAGGGACACUGUAGGAGAAAGAAAGGCAGGUUUAGCAUCUAAGAGCACCCAAGUAAAUCUAAAGACUGAAAUGAUCCAUCCCAAAGGGAACCUAAUCAUUAUUACUGGUCGAACACCAUGCUAUCCUGUGAUAGAAGGAAGAUCUUUGAUAAGUUACUCCGUCUCCUCACGCCAAUCGACUGCUAGAGGAGGGUAAAUAUUCAAAGAUUGUGUACCAAAAUAACUCUUAGCAUUUAGAAGAGGCUGUGGUAGCAUCUGCAGUGAGAAAGAGUAAGCUUAUGUGGUAUUCCAUUCCUACCUGCUAGGAUGACA